UGAGGAAUAUUGGUCAAUGGGCGCGAGCCUGAACCAGCCAAGUCGCGUGGAGGGAAGACGGUCCUAUGGAUUGUAAACCUCUUUUGUCGGGGAGCAAAAGAUCCUACGUGUAGGAUUCCGAGAGUACCCGAAGAAAAAGCAUCGGCUAACUCCGUGCCAGCAGCCGCGGUAAUACGGAGGAUGCGAGCGUUAUCCGGAUUUAUUGGGUUUAAAGGGUGCGCAGGCGGAAGAUCAAGUCAGCAGGUAAAUUGAGAGCUCAACCUCUUCGAAGCCGUUUGAAACUGGUUUCUUGAGUGAGCGAGAAGUAUGCGGAAUGCGUGGUGUAGCAGGUGAAAUGCAUAGAUAUCACGCAGAACUCCGAUUGCGAAGGCAGCAUACCGGCGCUCAACUGACGCUCAUGCACGAAAAGUGUGGGGUAUCGAACAGGAUUAGAUACC
rnacentral:rRNA from 1 species